rnacentral:lncRNA from 1 species
GGGAUGAAGAAGAAAAAAAAGAGAGGAAAAAAGAGGGCUGGCCAAGAAAGGUGCGCUGCCUUGCGGACGGCGCCGUUGAUUUUUUUUUAUUGCAUGUACGGCUGCGCGGCAAAUACGGCCAGGCGCGCAAAGAGCCGCCGCGCGUCGACUUCGUCGUCGGCACUGAGAGCAAUCUGAUUUUGUGCAGCGUAGGAGCGCACGACGCACAGGGUCAAAGUAUCGACGCGGGUGCCGGGCGCGUGGUCGCACAAGGCCCCCCACAACCGGUGCAACUCGCGCGAGCCGGCAUACGCAAAGGGGCCGCGGAUCGGCUCCACGCCAUAGCGCGUGCGCACCAUCUCGGCGACGGCCGGUUCCGCCAGGCGCACGCACAAGAGUUCUGGCCGCUCCAACUGUGCCGUGGUGGGCUCGACGCCCAGGGCGCGCGCGAUGCCCGCGAGCGCGUGGCCGUGCGGAAGACGUCCCGACGCAAGGGGCACCUCUGUACACACACGGUACCAGGCGCACGCCGCGGUCCGCGCGAGCACGUCCACGGGCAGCGCAUCGGCAUGCAGGGGACCCCGAUAGGCCGCGGCGGCACGAUCGAGGAGAGAGCAAGGCCGGGCAAACAUGGGUGCGGCCUGGCUGGCCCACUGACGCCCGGCAAGCAGACAGAGGAUGGUGUCGAUGCGUUGCUCGCUGAGCCGCACGCCACAGAUCGCACCGCCAAACCAUUCCCCGGCAAAUAGGCCCCGCCAGGUGUACGAUCGGUGCUGGUCGUCAAUGUAGCGGCGCACGGCACCGGGCACUCUACGCGGUGAGUCGAGACGCAACAGCGACUGCGUGAACCACGCGUGUGCCUGGCGACCUUCCGAGCAAUGCGCUACGUAAACGGCGUCGUCGCUGGCGCGCUCGGCAAACGCGCACAUGAGCAUGCAAAGAGGCACUGUCUGGGAGCGCCACUCGCGCCGUUUGUUCUUGACGACAUUGCGGUUGAUACACGUGCUGUCGGCUGAAGAAUCGAUGCAGUAGAUGAUGCGCGCGACGCCGUCCUCUCUUUCGGGGAGCGCAAAGAGGGCGGCGCGUAUCACAUGCUCCUUUUGCGAUGUCAGCACAUAAUAGGACGCGCCAUGGGUCUGACCAAAUUGAGCGAUGGGGUUGGCUUGGCGCACGGCGGUACCCAGUGCCUCAACUAGAUGGGUAACGGCCGACUCGGGGUCUGUCGCCGCCAGUGCGUCCCAGGCGGCCAUGUGCACGGCGCUGUCGGGUCGCGCGACGCCGUACCGCGCUGCCACUUGGACCGAUGUCGGGUUCGGCAACCGUCCAUGGCCUCUAGUGCAUCAUCGUCUGCUGUCAGGGCCGCCCACAGUGCAUUGUACUCGCUGGCAAGCACGUCGUCGGGGCUUGAGUGCCGCGCGUCGGCCAGCCGCUGUCGUGCUGUGGCGCUGACCAUGCUCCCGGCAAGGAGCCUUGCCCUUUCGCCCUCGUCGUCUAUGCGCACAACCGGCGCCUCCUGGUGUUUGGUCGUGCAUUUCAUGGCCCUAUCACAGGGACGCUGCUGUCGGUCGCUGUCGUGUGGAUCGCACCGACUUGGUUCCGGUCCGCUCUGGCUCAACUCGGUCGCCAUCAUCAGGGUGUCUCUCUUGCGCUCGCUGGUUCUUUGCGUCGAGUGACGUACCAAAAAAGAAGACGAAAAGGGACCGCGGUCCGCCGCUCCCGCGUACCUGGGCCGCGAUUGGCACGCCACAAUAAUGUCUUAUUUUCUCUUGAC